rnacentral:pre_miRNA from 1 species
AGCCCUCUGUAUUCGUGUUGAGACUUCGUCAGAGAUCAACUCGCUGGAGCUGAUGGUACUUCCCAAAUAAGUGAAGCG